CCGCCGGGCCAGCCCGGACUCCCGCUCCGUCUUCCUCCGCCUCCGCUGCGCCGGGCCCCGCCCCGCUGGCACCGGCUUCAGCCGCGUGCCACGCCGCCAGCGCCCGCGGGUCAAACACAAACACGACCCCGCGGUUCAGAGACGCGACCGCCACGGGCACCGGCGCGGACGGGCGAGCGUCGGGGACUCGGCCGGCGCCAGCCACAAGCACCGGUGCUUCCUUCUAGGCCCCGCGAGGCCGCAGGCGGGCGGGCGCCUGCAACCUCAAGAUUAAAUCCAAACAAACUCCGCGGGGCGAGAGUCUCGAGGCGACCCCCCACCCCCCACCCCGAUUAACUCUCCUCGCUUUUUUUCUCCCUCCUUGCUCGGUCCCCGACAAGCGGAGAAGCGACCCACACCUCCCUCACCACCAAAGUGGCCUUAGCGUUAAUUGCUGCACAACUAGGAACGCCGGCGCCCCGCCCCCUUCCUAGUUGGCGCCAAACGGAAUUCACCAAUCAGGAAGCAAACUUCCCCUCGCUCCCGAAUGACAGCCGAGCUGGACCAAUAAGAAGUAAAGGAGGAAGACUCUCGCGGGCCUCCUCGAGGUCACUCCCUCUCUCAGACCCCAGCGAGGCUUGAAGAGUUGGGAGGUGGCAGAAAUGAGAGGAGAGCUCAGAAGUCAAUGAAACUCGCGGCGAGGCGCUAUUGCUAGUACGGACGGAAAGGCCAGCUGCUCUUUUCCAGUUGCAUUCUGGGCUGGCCUCGAACUCGCGGUAAUCUUACUGCUUAGACGUGAGACACCAUACUCUGUCAGGCUUGGGUUUUAUAUGGAAAAAGAGAUGGAAAGACCUCUAGUACUGGGCUCCUGACCAUCAGAGUGAACAAACUCUGGGGGUUAUUCUUGUCACAGGAGAGAAGAAGAAGAAGCUGCGCACUGACUUGCCUGGAGGCUGCUGUGAGUUGGAUUCCCACUGACACGUGUCUCUGUGUUCUUCUCCUGCAUGUCUUCAGUGUUUGCUGUUGUUAGGACCUUGAGUGUAGACACUGGGCAGAGAAGAGAUCUCAGUGUACAUUAGAUGAGCAUUUUCUUCAUUACAGUAAUUGUGGAGAAUGUAAUAUGUACAUUUUAGCUGUUUUAACUGCUUUGAUUAUGGUCCUUUUUGGCUUAUUUAUUGAUUACAAUAUUACUUAUUUGCUUUGUGUACUUUCCUAUUUUAACAUCUUGGUAAAAUAUGGGUAUUUGUGCUUUGUACUAAGGAAAGUUGCUAAUAAAUUUAUCCAUUCUGGAAAAAAAAACAAAACCUCCAAACAAAACCAAACCACACACACACAUACACACACACACA